AGGCCGUGAUGGGGACACUUGCGUAAUAGCUCUUGAACCUUUCCCAAGUUUCAUAUAAGGAUUCCCCGUCCUCUUGUGAAUAUGUAUAAAUUUCAGCCAUUAACUU
rfam:Helianthus annuus linkage group 14, whole genome shotgun sequence.